GAACGCUGGCGGCAUGCCUUACACAUGCAAGUCGAACGGUAACAGGUCUUCGGAUGCUGACGAGUGGCGAACGGGUGAGUAAUACAUCGGAACGUGCCCGAGAGUGGGGGAUAACGAGGCGAAAGCUUUGCUAAUACCGCAUACGAUCUCAGGAUGAAAGCAGGGGACCGCAAGGCCUUGCGCUCACGGAGCGGCCGAUGGCAGAUUAGGUAGUUGGUGGGAUAAAAGCUUACCAAGCCGACGAUCUGUAGCUGGUCUGAGAGGGAGAUCCCCCCACACUGGUACUGAGACACGGCCCAGACUCCUACGGGAGGCAGCAGUGGGGAAUUUUGGACAAUGGGCGCAAGCCUGAUCCAGCAAUGCCGCGUGCAGGAUGAAGGCCUUCGGGUUGUAAACUGCUUUUGUACGGAACGAAACGGUGAGCUCUAAUACAGUUUGCUAAUGACGGUACCGUAAGAAUAAGCACCGGCUAACUACGUG
rnacentral:rRNA from 1 species